rfam:Homo sapiens chromosome 12, GRCh38 reference primary assembly.
GCUGGGCGUGGUGGCGCGUGCCUGUAGUCCCAGCUACACAGGAGGCUGAGGCAGGAGAAUUGCUUGAACCUGGGAGCUGGAGGUUGCAGUGAGCCUAGAUCGCGCCACUGCACUCCAGCCUGGCGACAGAGCGAGAUUCUGUCUCUA